CCUACGGGUGGCAGCAGUGAGGAAUAUUGGUCAAUGGACGAGAGUAUGAACCAUCCACGUAGCGUGAAGGAUGACUGCCCUAUGGGUUGUAAACUUCUUUUAUAUGGGAAUACAAUGUUACACGUGUGGGAUUUUGUAUGUACCAUAUUAAUACGGAUCGGCUAACUCCGUGCCAGCAGCCGCGGUCAUCCGGAGGAUCCGAGCGUUAUACGGAUUUAUUGGGUUUAAAGGGAGCGUAGGUGGAGUGUUAAGUCAGUUGUGAAAGUUUGCGGCUCAACCGUAAAAUUGCAGUUGAUAAUGGCAGUCUGGAGUACAGGAGAGGUGGGCGGAAGUCGUGGUGUAGCGGUGAAAUGCGUAGAUAUCACGAAGAACUCCGAUUGCGAAGGCAGCCCACUGGACUGCAACGGACACUGAGGCUCGAAAGUGUGGGUAUCAAACAGGAUUAGAUACCCGGGUAGUC
rnacentral:rRNA from 1 species